rnacentral:rRNA from 1 species
AGGGCUUACGGUGGAUACCUAGGCACACAGAGGCGAAGAAGGACGUGGUUACCGACGAUAUACUCCGGGGAGUUGGAAGCAAACAUUGAGCCGGAGGUUUCCGAAUGGGGCAACCCUAAAUACUACCUGUUGAAUAUAUAGACAGGAAAGAGCCAACCCAGCGAACUGAAACAUCUUAGUAGCUGGAGGAAGAGAAAUCAAAAGAGAUUCCCUGAGUAGUGGUGAGCGAAAGGGGAAAAGCCUAAACCAAAAGAUUUAUCCUUUGGGGUAGUGGGACAGCGAUAUCGAAUCUGGCGGUUAGACGAAGCAGCUAAAUACUGCACCAAAGAAGGUGAAAGUCCUGUAGUCGAAAACUCAAGGAUAGUAGCUGAAUCCCGAGUAGCAUGGGGCACGAGGAAUCCCAUGUGAAUCAGCGAGGACCAUCUCGUAAGGCUAAAUACUACUGUGUGACCGAUAGUGAACCAGUACCGCGAGGGAAAGGUGAAAAGAACCCCGGAAGGGGAGUGAAAUAGAACAUGAAACCGUAAGCUUACAAGCAGUGGGAGGACGAUUGAACGUCUGACCGCGUGCCUGUUGAAGAAUGAGCCGGCGACUUAUAGGCACUGGUAGGUUAAGGCGAGAAUGCCGGAGCCAAAGGGAAACCGAGUCUGAAAAGGGCGCUCAAUCAGUGUUUAUAGACCCGAACCCUGGUGAUCUAACCAUGGCCAGGAUGAAGCUUGGGUAACACCAAGUGGAGGUCCGAACCGACUGAUGUUGAAAAAUCAGCGGAUGAGCUGUGGUUAGGGGUGAAAUGCCAAUCGAACCAGGAGCUAGCUGGUUCUCCCCGAAAUGUGUUUAGGCGCAGCGGUAAUGAUUAAAUCUGGGGGGUAAAGCACUGUUUCGGUGCGGGCUGGGAGACCGGUACCAAAUCGAGACAAACUCAGAAUACCCAGAGAACACAUUGCCAGUGAGACAGUGGGGGAUAAGCUUCAUUGUCAAGAGGGAAACAGCCCAGACCACCAGCUAAGGUCCCCAAAUCAUCACUAAGUGAUAAAGGAGGUGGGAUUGCAUAGACAACUAGGAGGUUUGCCUAGAAGCAGCCAACCUUAAAAGAGUGCGUAAUAGCUCACUAGUCAAGCGAUCCUGCGCCGAAAAUGAACGGGGCUAAGUGAUGUACCGAAGCUGUGGGAUUAAUCUAGUAUUAAUCGGUAGGGGAGCGUUCCGUAUUAGGUAGAAGCAGUAGCGGCGAGCAGCUGUGGACGAAACGGAAGUGAGAAUGUCGGCUUGAGUAGCGCAAACAUUGGUGAGAAUCCAAUGCCCCGAAACCCUAAGGGUUCCUCCGCCAGGUUCGUCCACGGAGGGUUAGUCGGGUCCUAAGGCGAGGUCGAAGGGCGUAGUCGAUGGACACAGGGUGAAUAAUCCCUGACUACUAUGUGGGAGCAUUGCGAGGGACGCAUGAAAGAUAGCCAUACCCUGAUUGGUUUGGGAGGAGUUUACGAACUCCGCGUGGUGAAGGAUAGUGUCAAGAAAAGCUCGUAAUGUGAUGAAAACAUAGUACCCGUACCCGAAACCGACACAGGUAGGGAGGUUGAGAAUACCAAGGGGCGCGAGAUAACUCUCUCUAAGGAACUCGGCAAAAUGGCCCCGUAACUUCGGGAGAAGGGGUGCCCACCUCAGACGUGGGUCGCAGUGAAGAGAUCCAGGCGACUGUUUACCAAAAACACAGGUCUCCGCCAACUCGAAAGAGGACGUAUGGGGGCUGACGCCUGCCCAGUGCCGGAAGGUUAAGGAAGUUGGUCAGGGGUUCGCCUUGAAGCUGACGACCGAAGCCCCGGUGAACGGCGGCCGUAACUAUAACGGUCCUAAGGUAGCGAAAUUCCUUGUCGGGUAAGUUCCGACCCGCACGAAAGGCGUAACGAUCUGGAUGGUGUCUCAGAGAGAGACUCGGCGAAAUAGGAAUGUCUGUGAAGAUACGGACUGCCUGCACCUGGACAGAAAGACCCUAUGAAGCUUUACUGUAGCCUGGAAUUGUGUUCGGGCUUCGCUUGCGCAGGAUAGGUGGGAAGCGAAGAAGUAUCCCUUGUGGGGGAUAUGGAGCUAACGGUGAGAUACCACUCUGGCGAAGCUAGAAUUCUAACCCAUGACCGUAAGCCGGUCAGGGAACAGUUUCAGGUGGGCAGUUUGACUGGGGCGGUCGCCUCCUAAAAAGUAACGGAGGCGCGCAAAGGUUCUCUCAGCACGCUUGGAAACCGUGCGGCGAGUGUAAAGGCAAAAGAGAGCUUGACUGCGAGAGAUACAACUCAAGCAGGGACGAAAGUCGGCCUUAGUGAUCCGACGGCACAGCAUGGAAUGGCCGUCGCUCAACGGAUAAAAGUUACUCUAGGGAUAACAGGCUGAUCUCCCCCAAGAGUCCACAUCGACGGGGAGGUUUGGCACCUCGAUGUCGGCUCAUCGCAACCUGGGGCGGAAGUACGUCCCAAGGGUUGGGCUGUUCGCCCAUUAAAGCGGUACGUGAGCUGGGUUCAGAACGUCGUGAGACAGUUCGGUCCAUAUCCGGUGCAGGCGCAAGAGCAUUGAGAGGAGCCUUCCUUAGUACGAGAGGACCGGGAAGGACGCACCGCUGGUGUACCAGUUAUCGUACCAACGGUAAACGCUGGGUAGCCAAGUGCGGAGCGGAUAACCGCUGAAAGCAUCUAAGUGGGAAGCCCACCUCAAGAUGAGUGCUCUCACUACAUAAGUAGGUAAGGUCACGGGCAGAACACCCGUUUAUAGGCUCUAAGUGGAAGUACAGUAAUGUAUGAAGCUGAGGUGUACUAACAGACCGAGGGCUUGACCU